AUUAACGCUAGCGGCAGGCAUAAUACAUGCAAGUUGAACGGCAGCACAGGUAGCAAUACUGGGUGGCGAGUGGCGCACGGGUGCGUAACACGUAUGCAACCUACCCUAUACAGGCGAAUAACCUUUAGAAAUGAGGGCUAAUACGCCGUAGUAUUACAGAUGGGCAUCUAUUUGUAAUUAAAGAUUUAUCGGUAUAGGAUGGGCAUGCGUCCCAUUAGUUAGUUGGUAAGGUAACGGCUUACCAAGACGAUGAUGAGUAGGGG
rnacentral:rRNA from 1 species